rnacentral:lncRNA from 1 species
GUGUUCUGUUCGGUCUCGCCGGGGUCGCCUUUCUGCAGCACUUUGGUUAUUGAUCCCGAAGAAAGAGCUGGAGCGCGGAGGCUGCGCUUCCCUGGGGGCGGAGUGGGGCGGGGAGUAGGCUGGCGGUUGGGGGAGGGAGAUGAUAAACUUCAGGAGAGGAUGUAGGGCGUUCCUCAGUACCCCGGGGCCGCCC